rnacentral:rRNA from 1 species
GACGAACGCUGGCGGCGCGCUUAACACAUGCAAGUCGAACGGAAAGGCCUGCUUUCCCUUGUGGAUUGCGGGUACUCGAGUGGCGAACGGGUGAGUAACACGUGAGUGAUCUGCCCCCAACUUGGGUAUAAGCCUGGGAAACUGGGUCUAAUUCCCGAUAGGACUGCAGGGUGGUGCCUGUGGUGGAAAACGAUUUUCUAGUGGUUGGGGAUGAGCUCGCGGCCUAUCAGCUUGUUGGUGGGGUAAUGGCCUACCAAGGCGGCGACGGGUAGCCGGCCUGAGAGGGUGGACGGCCACAUUGGGACUGGGAUACGGCCCAGACUCCUACGGGAGGCAGCAGUGGGGAAUAUUGCACAAUGGGCGGAAGCCUGAUGCAGCGACGCCGCGUGGGGGAUGGCGGCCUUCGGGUGGUAAACUCCUUUCGACCGCGAGGAAGCCACCUGGUUGGAAGGGUGGUGACGGUAGUGGUAGAAGAAGCACCGGCUAACUACGUG